rnacentral:rRNA from 1 species
UACGUAGGGACCAAGCGUUGUUCGGAUUUACUGGGCGUAAAGGGCGCGUAGGCGGCGUGUUAAGUCACUUGUGAAAUCUCUAAGCUUAACUUAGAACGGUCAAGUGAUACUGAUGUGCUAGAGUGCAGAAGGGGCAACCGGAAUUCUUGGUGUAGCGGUGAAAUGCGUAGAUAUCAAGAGGAACACCUGAGGCGAAGACGGGUUGCUGGGCUGACACUGACGCUGAGGCGCGAAAGCUAGGGGAGCAAACGGG